rnacentral:rRNA from 1 species
AGAGUUUGAUCAUGGCUCAGGACGAACGCUGGCGGCACGCUUAACACAUGCAAGUCGAACGAGAGAAGAGGAGCUUGCUUUUCUGAUCUAGUGGCGGACGGGUGAGUAACACGUGAGCAAUCUGCCUUUCAGAGGGGGAUACCGAUUGGAAACGAUCGUUAAUACCGCAUAACAUAAUUGAACCGCAUGAUUUGAUUAUCAAAGAUUUAUCGCUGAAAGAUGAGCUCGCGUCUGAUUAGCUAGUUGGUAAGGUAACGGCUUACCAAGGCGACGAUCAGUAGCCGGACUGAGAGGUUGAUCGGCCACAUUGGGACUGAGACACGGCCCAGACUCCUACGGGAGGCAGCAGUGGGGAAUAUUGCACAAUGGAGGAAACUCUGAUGCAGCGAUGCCGCGUGAGGGAAGAAGGUUUUAGGAUUGUAAACCUCUGUCUUCAGGGACGAAAAAAGACGGUACCUGAGGAGGAAGCUCCGGCUAACUACGUGCCAGCAGCCGCGGUAAUACGUAGGGAGCGAGCGUUGUCCGGAAUUACUGGGUGUAAAGGGAGCGUAGGCGGGAUCGCAAGUCAGAUGUGAAAACUAUGGGCUUAACCCAUAAACUGCAUUUGAAACUGUGGUUCUUGAGUGAAGUAGAGGUAAGCGGAAUUCCUAGUGUAGCGGUGAAAUGCGUAGAUAUUAGGAGGAACAUCAGUGGCGAAGGCGGCUUACUGGGCUUUAACUGACGCUGAGGCUCGAAAGCGUGGGGAGUAAACAGGAUUAGAUACCCUGGUAGUCCACGCCGUAAACGAUGAUUACUAGGUGUGGGGGGACUGACCCCUUCCGUGCCGCAGCAAACGCAAUAAGUAAUCCACCUGGGGAGUACGACCGCAAGGUUGAAACUCAAAGGAAUUGACGGGGGCCCGCACAAGCAGUGGAGUAUGUGGAUUAAUUCGAAGCAACGCGAAGAACCUUACCAGGUCUUGACAUCGUAUGCAUAGCUCAGAGAUGAGUGAAAUCUCUUCGGAGACAUAUAGACAGGUGGUGCAUGGUUGUCGUCAGCUCGUGUCGUGAGAUGUUGGGUUAAGUCCCGCAACGAGCGCAACCCUUACUGUUAGUUGCUACGCAAGAGCACUCUAGCAGGACUGCCGUUGACAAAACGGAGGAAGGUGGGGAUGACGUCAAAUCAUCAUGCCCCUUAUGACCUGGGCCUCACACGUACUACAAUGGCUGUCAACAGAGGGAAGCAAAGCCGCGAGGUGGAGCGAACCCCUAAAAGCAGUCUUAGUUCGGAUUGUAGGCUGCAACCCGCCUACAUGAAGUCGGAAUUGCUAGUAAUCGCAGAUCAGCAUGCUGCGGUGAAUACGUUCCCGGGCCUUGUACACACCGCCCGUCACGCCAUGGGAGUCGGUAACACCCGAAGCCUGUAGUCUAACCGCAAGGAGGACGCAGUCGAAGGUGGGAUUGAUGACUGGGGUGAAGUCGUAACAAGGUA